AUCUGUCUGGUUCAGUGCUAUGAUGAAUGGGUGAGCACACAGCUGUGUGACCUACCUGUUACGCCUGAUGCACAUUACCCUUCUGAUA